GACGAACGCUGGCGGCGUGCUUAACACAUGCAAGUCGAACGGAAAGGCCCUGCUUUUGUGGGGUGUUCGAGUGGCGAACGCGUGAGUAUCACGCGAGUAACCUGUCCUUGACUUUGUGAUAACUUCAUGAAACUGGGGCUAUUACCGGAUAGGAGCUCUUGCUGCAUGGUGGUGAUUGGAAAGUUUCGGCGGUUGGGGAUGGACUCGCGGCUUAUCAGCUUGUUGGUUGGGUAGUGGCUUACCAAGGCUUUGACGGGUAGCCGGCCUGAGCGGGUGACCGGCCACAUAGGGACUGAGAUACGGCCCAGACUCAUACGGGAGGCAGCAGUGGGGAAUAUUGCACAAUGGGCGGAAGCCUGAAGCAACAACGCCGCGUGCGGAAUGACGGCCUUCAGGUUGUAAACCGCUUUCGCCUGUAACGAAGCGUGAGUGACGGUAAUGGGUAAAGAAGCAACGGCUAACUACGUG
rnacentral:rRNA from 1 species